rnacentral:lncRNA from 1 species
AUGUUCCGGACGACGAUGUCCCUGCGGUUUGGGAUUUGGGAUUAUGGGAAUUGGGAUAAUGGUAAUUGGGAUUAUGGGAAUUGGGGUUUCGGAUGUGGGAUUUGGGAUAUGGGAUAUGGGAUUUGGGAUGUGGGAUUUGGGAUAUGGGAUAGGGGAUAUGGGAUGAUGGAAGAGCCACCAGGAUGUUCCGGACGGCGAUGUCCCUGCGGUUCGGGAUUUGGGAUUGUGGGAAUUGGGAUUAUGGGAAUUGGGAUGAUGGGAAUUGGGAUUUCGGAUGUGGGAUUUGGGAUAUGGGAUGUGGGAUAUGGGAUGUGGGAUAUGGGAUGUUGGAUAUGGGAUGUGGGAUGUGGGAUAGGGGAUAUGGGAUAGGGGAACUGGGAUUUCGGAUGUGGGAUCUGGGAUUUGGGAUAUGGGAUCCAUGGGAUUUGGGAUCCAUGGGAUAAUGGGAUUAUGGGAAUUGGGAUUGUGGGAAUUGGGAUUUCGGAUGUGGGAUUUGGGAUAUGGGAUAUGGGAUAUGGGAUAUGGGAUAUGGGAUAUGGGAUAUGGGAUAUGGGAUAUGGGAUAUGCAAUGUGGGAUGUGGGAUGUGGGAUAUGGGAUAAUGGGGUAAUGGACAGGGGAGGCCACCAGGAUGUUCCGGACGGCGAUGUCCCUGCGGUUCGGGAUUUGGGAUUGUGGGAAUUGGGAUGAUGGGAAUGAUGGGAUUGUGGGAAUUGGGGUUUCGGAUGUGGGAUUUGGGAUAUGGGAUCCAUGGGAUUUGGGAUUUAGGGUAAUGGGAUAAGGGGAUUUGGGAUGUGAGAUAAUGGGAUAAUGGAGAGGAGAGGCCACCAGGAUGUUCUUGAGGGUGAUGUCCCUGAGAUUUGGGAUCCGUGGGAUUUGGGAUAUGGGAUGUGGGAUUUGGGAUGUGGGAUAUGGGAUGUGGGAUAUGGGAUACGGGAUUUGGGAUAUGGGAUAUGGGAUGUGGGAUAAUGGGAUACGGGAUUUGGGAUAUGGGAUAUGGGAUAUGGGAUGUGGGAUAUGGGAUGUGGGAUUUGGGAUAUGGGAUAUGGGAUAUGGGAUGUGGGAUAUGGGA